UACGAAGGGGGCUAGCGUUGUUCGGAAUUACUGGGCGUAAAGCGCACGUAGGCGGGUCGUUAAGUCAGGGGUGAAAUCCCGGAGCUCAACUCCGGAACUGCCUUUGAUACUGGCGAUCUAGAGGUCGAGAGAGGUGAGUGGAAUUCCGAGUGUAGAGGUGAAAUUCGUAGAUAUUAGGAAGAACACCAGUGGCGAAGGCGGCUCACUGGUCCGGUACUGACGCUGAGGUGCGAAAGCGUGGGGAGCAAACAGG
rnacentral:rRNA from 1 species